rnacentral:rRNA from 1 species
GCGAAUUCAGACGGUACCUGCAGAAGAAGCGCCGGCUAACUACGUGCCAGCAGCCGCGGUAAUACGUAGGGCGCGAGCGUUGUCCGGAAUUAUUGGGCGUAAAGAGCUCGUAGGCGGCCUGUUGCGUCCGCUGUGAAAUCCCGGGGCUUAACCCCGGGCGUGCAGUGGAUACGGGCUGGCUGGAGGCAGGCAGGGGAGAACGGAAUUCCCGGUGUAGCGGUGAAAUGCGCAGAUAUCGGGAGGAACACCGGUGGCGAAGGCGGUUCUCUGGGCCUGUUCUGACGCUGAGG